rnacentral:tRNA from 1 species
GGCCCCAUGGUCUAACGGCUAUGAUUUCCCGUUGUCUCCGGGAAGGUCGGGGUUCAACUCCCCGUGGGGUCGCCA